CCUACGGGGGGCAGCAGUGGGGAAUAUUGGACAAUGGGCGAAAGCCUGAUCCAGCAAUGCCGCGUGAGUGAUGAAGGCCUUAGGGUUGUAAAGCUCUUUUACCCGGGAUGAUAAUGACAGUACCGGGAGAAUAAGCUCCGGCUAACUCCGUGCCAGCAGCCGCGGUAAUACGGAGGGAGCUAGCGUUGUUCGGAAUUACUGGGCGUAAAGCGCACGUAGGCGGCUUUGUAAGUUAGAGGUGAAAGCCUGGAGCUCAACUCCAGAAUUGCCUUUAAGACUGCAUCGCUCGAAUCCAGGAGAGGUGAGUGGAAUUCCGAGUGUAGAGGUGAAAUUCGUAGAUAUUCGGAAGAACACCAGUGGCGAAGGCGGCUCACUGGACUGGUAUUGACGCUGAGGUGCGAAAGCGUGGGGAGCAAACAGGAUUAGAUACCCUAGUAGUC
rnacentral:rRNA from 1 species